CCUACGGGAGGCAGCAGUGGGGAAUAUUGGACAAUGGGCGAAAGCCUGAUCCAGCCAUGCCGCGUGUGUGAAGAAGGUCUUAGGAUCGUAAAGCACUUUAAGUUGGGAGGAAGGGCAGUAAAUUAAUACUUUGCUGUUUUGACGUUACCGACAGAAUAAGCACCGGCUAACUCUGUGCCAGCAGCCGCGGUAAUACAGAGGGUGCAAGCGUUAAUCGGAAUUACUGGGCGUAAAGCGCGCGUAGGUGGUUCGUUAAGUUGGAUGUGAAAUCCCCGGGCUCAACCUGGGAACUGCAUUCAAAACUGUCGAGCUAGAGUAUGGUAGAGGGUGGUGGAAUUUCCUGUGUAGCGGUGAAAUGCGUAGAUAUAGGAAGGAACACCAGUGGCGAAGGCGACCACCUGGACUGAUACUGACACUGAGGUGCGAAAGCGUGGGGAGCAAACAGGGAUUAGAUACCCUGGUAGUCCACGCCGUAAACGAUGUCAACUAGCCGUUGGAUUCCUUGAGGAUUUAGUGGCGCAGCUAACGCAUUAAGUUGACCGCCUGGGGAGUACGGCCGCAAGGUUAAAACUCAAAUGAAUUGACGG
rnacentral:rRNA from 1 species